UACGUAGGGUGCGAGCGUUGUCCGGAAUUAUUGGGCGUAAAGAGCUCGUAGGCGGUCUGUCGCGUCGGUCGUGAAAACUUGGGGCUUAACCCUGAGCUUGCGGUCGAUACGGGCAUGACUGGAGUUCGGCAGGGGAGACUGGAAUUCCUGGUGUAGCGGUGAAAUGCGCAGAUAUCAGGAGGAACACCGGUGGCGAAGGCGGGUCUCUGGGCCGAUACUGACGCUGAGGAGCGAAAGCGUGGGGAGCGAACAGGA
rnacentral:rRNA from 1 species